CGGAAUAUAGCGCAGCCUGGUAGCGCACUUGGAUGGGGUCCAAGGGGUCGCGAGUUCGAAUCCCGCUAUUCCGACCA
rnacentral:tRNA from 2 species